rnacentral:rRNA from 1 species
AUGGGGCAUGUUGAUGAUAUGGAUGACUAUCACAUAACACUUAACCUUGACCAAAGGAUGGAUCAGAGAAGAUAUAAUGCGCCGACCACUUCAGAAGUAGCAGCUGUGUGGGUGGAGGGCAGUGAACGUCGUAGACAGUUCGGUAAUAGUGUCAUCCUGCAUGGGAAGAAUAUAGAUAUAUACGGAAUCAAGUCCUAUCAUGGAUGCUAUGAUGCGUUGUCGUACCCUCUAUUCUUCCCUAGAGGCGAACUUGGGUGGCAUGCUGAUAUCUCGAAGGAAGGUGUGUCCUAUGAAACUGUGAUGGCAGCUCGUGCAGCCCGUCUAGCUCAUGGUCAUAGUGAUGACUCCUCUAAUCCUGGUGAUAAAGAUGAUGAGGACGAGGAUGAUAAUGCAGGUUCCAGAGGGAGACUAUGUGUAUCUGUGCGGGACUACUAUUGCUACACAUUUCAGAUGCGUCCUGGGAUAUUCAACCCAAUCCUCUAUGGUAAGCGUCUUUUCCAACAGUUUGCGGUAGACACACACAUCAAGAUAGAGAACUCCCGGUUGGACUAU